rnacentral:rRNA from 1 species
CGGGAACGGGUACGGUAACGGUAACGUAACGGUACGGGUACCGUAACCGUACCGUAACCCGUAAAACGGGAACGGGUAAGUAACACUUGGAAACAGGUGCUAAUACCGCAUAACCAUAGUUACCGCAUGGUAACUAUGUAAAAGGUGGCUAUACUACCGCUUUUGGAUGGGCCCGCGGCGCAUUAGCUAGUUGGUAGGGUAAAGGCUUACCAAGGCAAUGAUGCGUAGCCGAAUUGAGAGGUUGAUCGGCCACAUUGGGACUGAGACACGGCCCAAACUCCUACGGGAGGCAGCAG